AAGAUUAANCCAUGCAUGUANAGUAUAAACGCUUUAAGCGUGAAACCGCGAACGGCUCAUUACAACAGCUAUAAUUUACUUGAUCUUGACAAACUUACAUGGAUAACUGAGGUAAUUCUUGAGCUAAUACAUGCACCAAAGCUUUGACCGCAAGGAAAGAGCGCAUUUGUUAGAACAAAACCAAACGGCUUCGGCUGUUCCCAGUUGAAUCAGAAUAACUCAGCUGAUCGUACGGUCUUGUACCGACGACGUGUCUUUCAAGUAUCUGCUUUAUCAACUUUCGAUGGUAGGGUAUCUGCCUACCAUGGUGGUGACGGAUAACGGAGGAUCAGGGUUCGACUCCGGAGAAGGGGCCUGAGAAAUGGCCACUACGUCUAAGGAUGGCAGCAGGCGCGCAAAUUACCCACUCUCAGAAUUUGGAGGAGGUAGUGACGAGAAAUAACGAGGUUGAUCUCUUCAGAGGCCAACCAUCGGAAUGGGUACAAUUUAAACCCUUUAACGAGUAUCUAUGAGAGGGCAAGUCUGGUGCCAGCAGCCGCGGUAAUUCCAGCUCUCAAAAUGCAUAGAAUUAUUGCUGCGGUUAAAAAGCUCGUAGUUGGAUCUGCAGCCGGGGCUUUGGUCUAUCUUCGGAUACGUACUGGAUGUCUCCGGCUUUCUGACAGUGUUUGGCUCUGUGCCCCUCAACGGGUGUAGAUGUCCGAUACUGUAAGUUUACUUUGAAUAAAUCAGAGUGCUCUAAACAGGCGUUUUGCUUGAAUGAUUGUGCAUGGAAUAAUAGAAGAGGAUUUCGGUUCUAUUUUAUUGGUUUUAUAGACUGAGAUAAUGGUUAACAGAGACAAACGGGGGCAUUUG
rnacentral:rRNA from 1 species